UGCAUAUAUGUAACAGUUGUGCAGCUGGGUC
rnacentral:piRNA from 1 species